rnacentral:rRNA from 1 species
GACGAACGCUGGCGGCGUGCCUAAUACAUGCAAGUAGAACGCACAGUUUAUACCGUAGCUUGCUACACCAUAAACUGUGAGUUGCGAACGGGUGAGUAACGCGUAGGUAACCUGCCUGGUAGCGGGGGAUAACUAUUGGAAACGAUAGCUAAUACCGUAUAAUAUUGAUUAUUGCAUGAUAAUUGAUUGAAAGAUGCUAUUGCAUCACUACCAGAUGGACCUGCGUUGUAUUAGCUAGUAGGUGAGGUAACGGCUCACCUAGGCGACGAUACAUAGCCGAACUGGGAGGGUGAUCGGCCCCACCGGGACUGAGACACGGCCCCGACCCCUACGGGAGGGAGCAGUAGGGAAUCUUCGGCAAUGGACGAAAGUCUGACCGAGCAACGCCGCGUGAGUGAAGAAGGUUUUCGGAUCGUAAAGCUCUGUUGUAAGGGAAGAACGGGUGUGAGAGUGGAAAGUUCACACUGUGACGGUACCUUACCAGAAAGGGACGGCUAACUACGUG